GUCUCUGUAGCGCAAUCGGUUAGCGUGUUCGGCUGUUAACUGAAAGGUUGUUGAUCAAGCUUACGCAGGGACG
rnacentral:tRNA from 1 species